AGCUGGUCUGAGAGGAUGAUCAGCCACAUUGGGACUGNGACACGGCCCAAACUCCUACGGGAGGCAGCAGUGGGGAAUAUUGGACAAUGGGCGCAAGCCUGAUCCAGCCAUGCCGCGUGAGUGAUGAAGGCCCUAGGGUUGUAAAGCUCUUUUGUGCGGGAAGAUAAUGACGGUACCGCAAGAAUAAGCCCCGGCUAACU
rnacentral:rRNA from 1 species